CCCAAAGGAGGUUCUACGGGUGUGCGGCGCGGGAGACCGGUGACUGAGAUCGCGAUGGACACAGAUGGAUAAAAGGAUCAAUGGCUAUCGAGAUGUUCAAGUACUUCAACAAAAGAUCAAUUGAUAGUAGAGAAACAUGAGAAAUAAGGUCUCCCUAGAGAAUAGGAAUGUUUCAAAUGUUUCAUCCUGCAGACAGAGCAUCAUGAAGUUAUGAAUUAGUACUUCUCAGAAGCAUUUGUAGGUGAAAAACAAAGUUUUUAUAUAACGAUCUAAAUACAAUUUGUACAUUUACAAGUAAUGAAGGAAGUUAAACAUAAACUUAAAUAAACAAAUACAAUAUUGA